ensembl:lncRNA
AGAGGCUCAACCCUCUUCCAGAAAUGAGGCUGGUGCUCGUCGGCGGCAGGAAAACGGGCAAAAAGCUCCUGCGGCAACACCAUCCUGAGCGAAGGGUGCUUCGACACGGACGCCCGAACCACCUCCUGCGCGGAGAAACGAGGCAAAAUCCGCAGCAAGGUGGUAACAGUGCUGGACACGCCCGGAGGCCUCUCGCUGACCUCUGACCUCCUCGGGGCUCCUUCCUCCUGCGCUAUCCUCCUCGUUGUCAACGUGAGCUCAUCGUUCACAGGCGCCCACGGGGAGGCCCUGGAGAAACAGCUGGAGGCCGCGGGAGGCCAGAUGUGGAGCAGAGCCGCGGUGCUGUUCAGCCACGGCGACUGGCUGGGCGACACGAGCGUCGAGCGGCGCAUCGAGAGCGAGGGGGAGCCGCUGCGGAGGCUCGUCGAGAAGUGCGGCAACCGGUAUCACGUCCUGGAUAACCGACGCGCGCGAGGGGGCGGAGCUCAGGUCGACGAGCUGAUCCAACUGAUGGAGGAGACGCUGGCCGAAGAGAGGCUGGCGGCGCUCCGCGGGGGGGAUCGCAUGUGGAGAAGUGUGCAGGAGCCCGACACCGUGACGCUGUGUGAAGAAGAUCUAAAGGUGAACUGUGACGUGACGGAAUCGGCCACUUGCUCGAUACAGAGAACAGGAAACUGCUCCGACGGUGCAGAUGCCGGCGGGCAGAUAGUGGCGGUGCCAGCAGCAGGAGGCCGGGCAGGACUCACCCUCCUGGGCAGAGACACAUUGGUGUCCAUCUUAGCCUCUGUGCUCUCUGGUAGAAAUGGACUGAGGUGUGCUGCUGCCGGGCAACAGGGCGUAACGGCACACCUGCCCCUCUUCUUCCCCGCCGAUGACCCCCACCGCAGCCUGAGUCGGAACGGCGGAAGCCGAGUGCGUCCGUUCUCGCCCGCACAUCCGACCGUGCUCUUUAUUCUACCUCAAACACGGAGCAGGGCGCCGACGGAAGACAGCGCCGUCGUCGACGUGCAUCCCCUUUGCCACCCUGCUCUGAGAGAGCGGACCCUCAGGAGGCUCGCGGAGUCCGGGGGCCUGCAGCUGCUGAUCGACCAGUGGGGCCACAGCAGCCUGGAGGAACUGGAGGCCUUCAUAGACACGUACUUCGAGAUGGUGUGGGAGAAAACCAUGGGCUCGUUUCCGACGGCCGAGCCCGAGUCCGCUGCGGUCGAGGAGGAGGACGAGGUGCUCUCGUCCAUCGACAGGAAACUGUCAAAGCUGGAGCUCCUUGACGAGAUCAGGGGCGACCUGGCGAAGCUCAGGGAGAGUCUGGAGCGCAGCUGGAUGGUCAUUCAGGAACUCAGGGACAAAAGUAAAGGAGACCCCAAUAAUACAUGUUAAUACAGGGGGAAAUCCAUAUUCGAACAUGGAGGUAGUAAGGUUGUACCCCACUUUAUUUAUUUGCUAACGUUUUUUUGCAUUAACAAUGCAAAGUAUAAUUCAUCAUAAUAUAUUUUUCAUAGGUUAAUAAGAUAAGAUAACACUUUAUUGAACCCGGGGGGUUGAUACAUCAAUCUAUAAUACAAAUGUCUAAUAUACUACAUUUUGAAAAGGUCAUUCUGACAAAUAAGGAUAUAUAUAGAUAUCUAUAUCUAUAUCUAUCUAUAUAGAUAUAGAUAUAUAUAUACACGCUUCUGUACUUUUUGAAUUCAGGACUGUAUUGACUGUUUUUUUAUUAUUUUUUUUUUACCUUAGAUCUCUUCCUCCACCAUUAUAGUGUUGUUCUUAUAUUUCUCCACAAGGGGGAGCCCUUGUAUAAGAAUGGGCCUUGCAUUAUAUGUAAACUUGUGUCCACUCAUCCACCAGAAUACAUUUGUUUUUCUAAGAAAUCUUGGACUAGACAAAGCGAGUUUGAUUCUGAGUUAAAAAAUGGCAAUUGAAUUUACAUUUCCGAUUAUCUUCAAUAUGCACAAAUAUACACUUGCGAUACAUAAUAUACACGUGUAAAAAUCUUUAGUUUUUUGUUAAGUCUAAUUCCCAGGCAAAAUUUGUGCAUUUACUUUGUGUCGGUCUUGUUUUGACUAAACAGUGUUUCUAACAAUUUACUCUGAAAUAAUAAAGCAGAGCAGCACCACAGACAGUAAUAUUGUGCCCCUGAGCAGCACAGACAUACGUGUUAUAUUGAAUAUGUCAUUCAAAUAACCGUGGGCUUUAGUCUGCUGCUAAAACAGCUCUCAUCGAUAAGGUUUUUUUUCCACAGGAAUUUGAAACCUGGCUGCAGGGAUGCGCUCCCGUUCAGCCAAGAACAUUAGCUCAAUUAGGGCCUGGCUCUCGAUUGACUCUGUGCUAGGCCAGUCAAUUUUUUCCACAUUAAACUGUGAAAAAACAUUUCUUUAUGGACAUCCCCUGCGUGAGCGGCAAAGCAUAAAGGAAGAGGAGGAGGGAGAGAUGGGUCAAUAAUUAUUAACAGGCCAUAGAUUAAGAGUUUUAACCACAGCGUCCUUCAAAGUACUGUUAUGCGCCUGUCAUAUAUAUAUAUAUAUAUAUAAGCAAUAUUCACAGUUGUAGGAGAUCAUUAAAAAGUUGCUACAGUAGCUAGUACAACAUUUCAAGUGAGAUAGAAAAGUAACCCUGGACAAUACUUUAUAAUUAAUAAUUGGAAGGGUUAAUUUUUAUGAUAACUCCCUCACCUUUACUACCCAACGAUUCCGUGCAGGUUUGCAGCGUCUUGCACCGAAGCUUUGAAAGUCUGAAAUGAAUCAUAUUCAUCAUCUGCUAGGGGGGGAAGUCAAUCUCUGUGUGUGUGUGUGUGUGUGUGUGUGUGUGUGUGUGUGUGUGUGUGUGUGUGUGUGUGUGUGUGUGUGUGUGUGUGUGUGUGUGUGUGUGUGUGUGUGUGUGUGUGUGUGUGUGUGUGUGUGUGUGUGUGUGUGUGUGUGUGUUCUUCUAGUUUAGAGCCAAACAACUCUCACCUUCACAAAUCUGACAGUCGAUCAGAUUCAGGAAGCAUUUCCUUUGUGGAGGAAAUAGACGAUCUGUGCCGCUUCCACUCAAAAGCUUUUCCUUUUUCUUUUCUUUCAUGAUUUAUCAAGGGCUUUCAAGUGAGUUUCACACACACACACAAACACGCAGACACACGCUAAUGCACAAUUCAGAGAAAUAAUGGGGCUGUGGAAGAGUAAACAGUAUGGAGGUCCACUGCUGCCAAGGCUGAUUUGUACAAAACAAAACAAAACUAAAAAAUCCCCACGAAUAAAAAUGUACGGUAACAUCACGAUCAGGUCAUGAUGAGUGGGUGAAGUAGUUUGAUCCCGUCUCCUGUUUCCGUGCACAAACAAGAAACAUCUGAAAGCAGCAGUUUGCUAUUUUUAGUCUGAUGUGCUCAUUUCUCACCGGCAACAUCUCUGUGUUUUCCUUCUCUUUGAUUAAAGCUGCGUUGGGGGGCGUCUCUGCACGUGGGCGCCUCCACACGGGGAGGAGAGCUUCAACCCCCCCCCAACAAACGGAUGUCAGGGGACUGAACACAGUCUGACGCUUCGUACUUUCGACUCACCGCAGCUUAAGAGUUUGGAUUUUCACUGUUGUGAGUUUUGUUGAGCAAAAGAAAUACUCAUGGGCCGUAAUUAUGACAUAGCACAGCAUAGAUGAGUGAGGUUUUUAUUAAUUCGGCAUUUUGUUACUGUACCGCUAUUAGGGAAGGUCAUUUCUUUUAGAUAAAACAAGUUUUGGUUUUGAUUCGGAUGGAUUAUGGAUUCACCUUUAGUGAUUCGCAGGCAAUGAUGGUUUAUUUAUCUCUGCCAGUCGCCAUUGUCUUUCUUUUGCAUUAUACUUCUUUGAAUAUCAUCACUCCCUCCAUCCCCCCUCUCCCUGCUCUCUCAUCAUCUGUCUUCCUCUGCUGUCAGCGUGUCAUCCCUCCACUCUGUUCUCCCGCCGCUCAUCUUCUUCUCUCUUGCCCGUCCUCGUCGUUCUAUGCCUCCCCGCGUCUCCUUCUGUCUGACGUCCCACUCUCUCUCUCUCUCUCUCUCUCUCUCUCUCUCUCUCUCUGCUCUUCUCUUCCCCCUGUGGUCUCCCCAUCCUUCUCUGGAACCAAGUCGUGAGUGCUCAGCCCUCCCCUCUCAUUGGAGGAGUUCUGCAGCCCAUGGAGGAAGUGCAGGAGAAACCAACCCUCACCUCCCUCCCUCCUCCCUCUCUCUUUCUCUUUCUGUUCAAGAGACAACUCUGAGCCCACAUCCAUCUCCAUUAGCAGGACAGCGCAGCGGCCGGCCCGCCGCCCCCCCCCCCCACCCACCCGCCCGCCCUGUAUCACGUUUCACUUGCCUGCUAUUUUUCCAGGUGGAACAAGGAAAGCCAGGGCGGAGAGAUGGGCAGAGG